rnacentral:rRNA from 1 species
UAAGGAAUAUUGCACAAUGGGGGGAACCCUGAUGCAGCAACGCCGCGUGGGUGAAGAAGGCUUUCGAGUUGUAAAACCCUUUUCUGUGGGAUGAGGAAGGACAGUACCACAGGAACAAGUCUCGGCUAACUACGUGCCAGCAGCCGCGGUGAGACGUAGGAGGCGAGCGUUAUCCGGAAUCACUGGGCGUAAAGGGCAAGUAGGCGGUUGUUCAAGUUGGGCGUGACAGAUCUCGGCUUAACUGAGGAACUGCGUCCAAAACUGUUGGGCUUGAGGAAGACAGAGGUAAGCGGAACUUAGGGUGGGGCGGUGAAAUGCGUUGAUAUCCUAGGGAACACCAGUAGCGAAAGCGGCUUUCUGGACGGUGUCUGACACUGAGGCGCGAAAGCCAGGGGAGCGAACG